ensembl:lncRNA
CCAAACAUCUAAGGAUCUAGUCCUGUGUUCCUGUUAGUGCUUCGUGCCUACAGCUACCACAAGAGGUCAGGAAGUGAAGCAGGCACAGGAUGAAGGUCUCUUCUCUGGAGAAAAUCAGACAAGCAAAGCACGUGUGACAACAAAGGAACUUCAGAAGCACAUUUCACUUUUAAGAAGGAGAAGAAGGCUGAGAGAAGCAUCAAUGCAAGCACGCCAAGUCCCACAGAUUCCCUACCUUGUCUGGUGCCACGUAAAAACAUCGGUCCGUUAAAGCAGUCGGGGGCCAGACGUGUUUGCUGAACAAAGAGCACGCAAAUCCCAAGGCUGGGAUUCACCCAUCAGCUCAAUUCCGAGGCUCCUCUCUUCAGCUUCUCUCAUCAGCCACCGCUCACAGCCUCAGCAGUCGCUCUCGCCGUUCCCGCAGGCACACGGGAGGUCUCGGUGCCACCCGGGAAGGAAGCAGACGUUGGAAAGACACCCUAAAGUUCUGUGCAUCGCUCACCGCCACAGCGUGCGGGCAUCCUCCGGCCCCGCUCCCCCCGCUGCCGCCGAUCCCGGCCUUCCGGCGCCGUCCCGUACGUGAGCGGCACCGACCCCGGGAGGCCCCGGACCCCACCGAGACCCGACCGCACGGCGCAGCCAGGAGGAGCGGACAAACCCGGCGCGCCGCCCGGCACCGCUCCGCCCUCACGGCCCGCCGCGUGACCGCGCGACCCGGCCGUCACCUGGGCAGGGCGGCCGCGGGGGGGAGCUGGGGGGCGGCACUUUUUGGAANNNNNNNNNNNNNNNNNNNNNNNNNNNNNAAGAGCGGUGAAGCUGUUGAGGAGCCAUGUUGGCUGUGGGAACGCUGCCGGGCGGAGGCGGCGUGCUUGCAGCGCGGAUGGACGGAGCUUCUAACAGUCUAAACUCUUCUAAUUCGAUCACAGCAGAGUGAGUCUGCCUGCGUCAGCGGAAGAGCUGCCUUCGUGGAGGUGCAGAUGCAGUCAGCCGUUGUGGAAUUCAUCUUGAACCACUCAGAUGUCCUCUUCCGCUCCAAAUCCGGCCCGCUCAUUGGAGAUAGAGCGAAUGAUGCGCUUGGUGCUCCCUUUGCAAAUGAUCGUUUGGGUCUGGAUUUUGUGCCUGUGCCUGUGGGACAACCCAGAGGCCCUGCUGGUGAAUCAACAGAAGAGGAUCCUGUCUACGAAUCUGAGGGGGAUGCUGGAGAUGUGACUGGAGCAGGCGAUCCAGGAUCCGCUCUGAGCUCUGGGACCGAAACUCUGGAGGAUGGCAUGGAAGUGCCUCCAUGGAUGUCUUUGCCCGGUCGUUCAUUUCCUCUCACGCUGGAGCCCAGCUGGAAUCCCAGCGGUGAGUAGUUUGUCUUUACUGACUCCGCUGACUCACCGCUGGUCUCCAAAACUUCAUGCACAUGAUAUUUGACUUCAUACAUUCUGUACAGGUCCGGAAAGAGGAAAGGAUGAACCCAGAAGAGGAAGAUACUCCCAGGGCUCAUCCCGUCUCCUAAAGGAUCUGCUGAAGGAAAUGGAGAAGGCAGCGCGUGGUAGGUAUACUUCAGUGUGUUCACCGUGAGACCUUGGAAGCUGAGGUCUGACGUUCAUGUGUGGACAAGCCGUAGCCUGCACAGCAGGAAGGGAUCGCGCAGAGCCGUGCUGCGGUGGUGUUCCAUGUAACGCCUUGCAGACACCCAAGUAUUUGACAGCCUGUACAACCUCAUCACCGACUACUGGCAGACGCCACUGAGGUACAACGGACUUGAGAUAAGGCUGACAGAGCCGUGCCUGGGUCCAACACUCACAACAACACAGACUGGGUGCUGCGGAACGGCACCAGAGCGAUGAGCCCAGCUCCAGUGCCAUCUACUUCAGGGCAGGAGGGAAGAUCCAGCACUUGACCAAGUGCACAUUGUUCAAGUUCAUCACCCACAAUAAAAGUGUUUUUUUGUUCUGCA